UUCCUCCUGGAAAAGUCACAGUGGGAGAUGAGAGGCAUCAUGUAUGAAGAUUGACUACCCUGACACUACGAUGCUGGGAGAAAUCCCAGUGAUGUUACUGGUGCCCAAAGAAGUGUGAAGAUUGUCCAGGGCUUGGAAAAGACAUAGAUCGAUAAAGAACAAAAGUGAGUGGGCAGUGAAAGACAACGCAUGAAAGCAUUAAAGAGGAGAGAGCAAUGAACUCCUGCUCAAGAGAAAAAUCGCACCUCAGUGACAAGCCUGCUGUGCAAAAGCCCAUUUAGCAAGAAUAGCCCAGACCUUCAUUUCAAGUUUUAUCAGAAGCCACUGGUCCUAAAGUAUCACUGGCGCCUACUGAAUUUUCACCAGGGACCUAACAGAAAACAUCUGUUCUCUUACUUAAAAUAAGUGAACAUAGUGGCCAAUGUAAUUCAAGGUAACCCCCAUCUCCUUCUCAAGGAGAAAACUGUAAAGCAGAACAGUCUGAUACCACUUCCAUAAAGAAGCUAGCUGCUGUUGAACCUCCAAACUGAACUGAGAGAGUGUGUACACACAAGCAGGAAGGUGGAAGGGAUAAGGAGGAAGGGCAGAGAGAGAAGAAGAGAGAGAAUCUUAAGCAGGCUCCAUGCAUGGAGCCCACUGUGGGGCUCAGUCUCACAACCCUGAGAUCAAGACCUGAGGUAAAAUUGUCGGACACAUAACCAACUGAGCCACCCAGGCGCCCUCCUAGUCAAAUUCUUAAGAUAUAAUAAAAG